rnacentral:rRNA from 1 species
ACGAACGCUGGCGGCGUGCUUAACACAUGCAAGUCGAGCGGUAAGGCCCUUUCGGGGGUACACGAGCGGCGAACGGGUGAGUAACACGUGGGUGACCUGCCCUCAGCUCUGGGAUAAGCCUGGGAAACCGGGUCUAAUACCGGAUAUGACUCCAUGACGCAUGUUGUGGGGUGGAAAGCCUUGUGCGGCUGAGGAUGGGCCCGCGGCCUAUCAGCUUGUUGGUGGGGUGAUGGCCUACCAAGGCGACGACGGGUAGCCGGCCUGAGAGGGCGACCGGCCACACCGGGACUGAGACACGACCCAGACUCCUACGGGAGGCAGCAGUGGGGAAUCUUGCGCAAUGGGCGAAAGCCUGACGCAGCGACGCCGCGUGAGGGAUGACGGCC